ACCUGACUGCUAUCGGAUUGAUACUAAGCCAUGCGAGUCAUUGUAGCAAUACAAGGCAUACGGCUCAGUAACGCGUAGUCAACCUAACCUAUGGACGGGAAUAACCUCGGGAAACUGAGAAUAAUGCCCGAUAGAACAUUAUGCCUGGAAUGGUUUAUGUUCCAAAUGAUUUAUCGCCAUAGGAUGGGACUGCGGCCUAUCAGUUUGUUGGUGAGGUAAUGGCCCACCAAGACUAUUACAGGUACGGGCUCUGAGAGGAGUAGCCCGGAGAUGGGUACUGAGACACGGACCCAGGCCCUAUGGGGCGCAGCAGGCGAGAAAACUUUGCAAUGUGCGAAAGCACGACAAGGUUAAUCCGAGUGAUUUCUGCUAAAGAGAUCUUUUGUUAGUCCUAGAAACACUAACGAAUAAGGGGUGGGCAAGUUCUGGUGUCAGCCGCCGCGGUAAAACCAGCACCUCAAGUGGUCAGGAUGAUUAUUGGGCCUAAAGCAUCCGUAGCCGGCUCCGUAAGUUUUCGGUUAAAUCUGUACGCUCAACGUACAGGCUGCCGGGAAUACUGCAGAACUAGGGAGUGGGAGAGGUAGACGGUACUCGGUAGGAAGUGGUAAAAUGCUUUGAUCUAUCGAUGACCACCUGUGGCGAAGGCGGUCUACCAGAACACGUCCGACGGUGAGGGAUGAAAGCUGGGGGAGCAAACCGGAUUAGAUACCCGGGUAGUCCCAGCUGUAAACUAUGCAAACUCAGUGAUGCAUUGGCUUGUGGCCAAUGCAGUGCUGCAGGGAAGCCGUUAAGUUUGCCGCCUGGGAAGUACGUACGCAAGUAUGAAACUUAAAGGAAUUGGCGGGGGAGCACCACAAGGGGUGAAGCCUGCGGUUC
rnacentral:rRNA from 1 species